rnacentral:rRNA from 1 species
CCGGUAGCUAAAUGCGGAAGAGAUAAGUGCUGAAAGCAUCUAAGCACGAAACUUGCCCCGAGAUGAGUUCUCCCUGACUCCUUGAGAGUCCUGAAGGAACGUUGAAGACGACGACGUUGAUAGGCCGGGUGUGUAAGCGCAGCGAUGCGUUGAGCUAACCGGUACUAAUGAACCGUGAGGCUUAACCUU